rnacentral:lncRNA from 1 species
GUUGGAGAUCGAUGAUUCCGAUAAGACUAGUACAUCCUAUAUAUACUUGAUGAAGAGGGUGGUUGAUCUCACAACCAUUUGUGUGGUGAUACUAAUACAAGGAUGUAGGUGCUCAUUAGAGAAUGAGUUUAUUGAACUGACCCAUAAAAGAACAUCUGAUGGAGUCUUACAGCAUGUCAACAGAUGAUUCUUUAGUGGAAGUGGUGCAUAUGAUCCAUUGACCUGAAAUCAUCAUGGUACCUUGUAUACAUAGAUCCUUAUUUUGGUUUAUUCUCUAACACACCACUUUGAGAUGUGUGUAGGAUAUUUUGGAUAUGGUGAAGUGUGCAUGG